rnacentral:rRNA from 1 species
UAGAGUUUGAUCAUGGCUCAGGAUGAACGCUAGCGACAGGCUUAACACAUGCAAGUCGAGGGGCAGCGGGGAGGUAGCAAUACUUCCGCCGGCGACCGGCGCACGGGUGAGUAACACGUAUGGAACCUGCCCGUAGCAGGGGGAUAAACGGAAGAAAUUCCGUCUAAUACCGCGUAAUAACUCCGAGAGGCAUCUCAUGGAGUUUAAAGGGUAACACCGGCUACGGAUGGCCAUGCGGCGCAUUAGCUAGUUGGCGGGGUAACGGCCCACCAAGGCGACGAUGCGUAGGGGUUCUGAGAGGAAGGUCCCCCACACUGGUACUGAGACACGGACCAGACUCCUACGGGAGGCAGCAGUGAGGAAUAUUGGUCAAUGGGCGCGAGCCUGAACCAGCCAAGUCGCGUGAGGGAAGACGGUCCUAUGGAUUGUAAACCUCUUUUGUCGGGGAGCAAAAGACGCCACGCGUGGCGUUCCGAGAGUACCCGAAGAAAAAGCAUCGGCUAACUCCGUGCCAGCAGCCGCGGUAAUACGGAGGAUGCGAGCGUUAUCCGGAUUUAUUGGGUUUAAAGGGUGCGCAGGCGGAAGAUCAAGUCAGCGGUAAAAUUGAGAGGCUCAACCUCUUCGAGCCGUUGAAACUGGUUUUCUUGAGUGAGCGAGAAGUAUGCGGAAUGCGUGGUGUAGCGGUGAAAUGCAUAGAUAUCACGCAGAACUCCGAUUGCGAAGGCAGCAUACCGGCGCUCAACUGACGCUCAUGCACGAAAGUGUGGGUAUCGAACAGGAUUAGAUACCCUGGUAGUCCACACAGUAAACGAUGAAUACUAAUUGUUCGGGGAGAAUGAUCCCUGAGUGAUACAGCGAAAGCGUUAAGUAUUCCACCUGGGGAGUACGCCGGCAACGGUGAAACUCAAAGGAAUUGACGGGGGCCCGCACAAGCGG